UCAAAAAGUCAGUGAGCAAACCGAUCUUUAAUUUGUUGGCCUGGAAGGCUCGCUUGCUCUGUGGGCAAGGACCAGUUAUUUACACAGAAUCAUUGUACAGUAUUUACAGGAAGAGGCCAGACACAGCAUCCGUGUGGAUAGUUAAAGAAAGGGCAAGAACCACGUGGGGAAGGAAACUCUAAUAUCAAAGUAAACGCAGAAACUGAAAAGUGUGGAAGACCAGAGGAGCGUCUGUCUGAAUCAGAAGACAGUCUGCUGCGGCAGACCCAAGGAAGAAGCCUCAAGUAGCCUGCAGAGGUGUGGGGAAGGGUGUGCUGGGCAUGAAAUAAAGCCUUGAAAAGUAUGCAGUAUGGAAGAGAAAAAAUAUGCUACCUGCUGUUUCAGAGAAAAGAAUACAAUUAGCACUUUAUCAUCCAUAACUUAUGCUCCCCCAUCAAAGAGCAAUCCCCACUUCUUUUAAAAGUAUCUGGACAAGAGACUAAGAAAGAGAAUUCUGUCUCAAGGUAACAAACUUUUAACUAGACUCAAGACAUCUAGAUAAAGGGAAGACAGCAAAGAGGUUCUGGCAAUGGAACUGAAGGCCAACCGCAGAGGUGCGCUGGAGUCUUCCCAUGGGCAUCGCCUUCCUGACCUGUCUUUGGCAGGUUCUUCCCCUCAUCCCUAAGUGUCUGGAUUUUAACUUCAGACAAGGAGUUCAUUGGAACGAGGCUGGCACACGGGGGACAGGCUCAGCUCCCAUCUCAUCAAUUUGGGUUCCCUCCUUAUCUCAUACCACACUGUCAGGGCUUGAGUCGUAGCCAGGGACAGAUUAGGGUGAGAAUAGACAGAACGGAGGAUAUGAGGCCACACAGCCCCACAAUCCCAGGGCCACAACGCCAGAGGCCUAGUUUGUCCAGUGGGAUGAAGAGGUCACAGGCAUUUCUCAGCACAUCCAGCAGAAGAGGGGGGUGAUCUCGAAGGACACGUGCCAGUAGCAGGAUUCGGAGCCGAAAUUUCAAAGCCAGUUGUGGCAGACAUCCUCCUGGAGUCCCUGGUCCUCCAGGUCCCCCAGUCUCUAAUCCUGAGACUCCUACUCCAGAAAUCUUCAUUCGCCUGCUGUGAGCUGAAGUCUCUUGUUCCAUCAACAGGCGAAUCUCAUAAGCAUCCCGGCUCAGGUUCAUGAUGAGGGAGAAGAGAUAGUACCUGAGACACACAGGGCACACACGACACACGGGUUAGAAAGGGACAAAGGUCUGUGGAACAACACGCCCCAUAGACUGGAAGGGGAGUCUACAUUAGAACAUUAGAAGCGACUGCUAAAAUCCGCUAUUGGAAAUAUCCACGCUGGGGCUGGAGAGAUAGCUUAGUAGGUAAAGGCACUGUCAUCAAGCCUGAAGAACUAGGUUAGAUCCCCAGAACCCAUGUGGAGGCUGAAACUGAUUUCCCCAAGUUGUCCUUUGACUUCAACAGACACACUAAUGUACUUAUAUGUACCCACAUACCCAAUAUAAAUAAACUAAUAUAUUACAUAUAACAUAAAUAGAUAUAUAGAUAACUUUUUGAAAAGGUAAAAAAAAUUAGGUAACUUAAAAAAAGUUAAAAGAUAUAUCUUGCUGGUUGCUGGGCUGGAGAGAUGGCUCAGCGGUUAAGAGCACCAACUGCUCUUCCAGAGGUCUUGAGUUCAAUUCCCAGCAACCACAUGGUGGCUCACAGCCAUCUGUAGUGAGAUCUGAUGCCCUCCUCUGGUGUGUCUGAAGACAGCUGCAGUGUCCUCACAUACAUAAAAUAAAUAAAUUUUUUUAAAAAAAUCAUCCUUUCUGGAGCUGGAGAGAUGGCUCAGUGGUUAAGAACACUCAUUGUUCUUCCAGAGGUCCUGAGUUCAAAUCCCAGCAACCACACGGUUGUUGUAAAAAUAUAAAAAUAAUAAAUGUAUUAUUGGCUUUUACCUCGCUAGGUCCUGCACCUCAGUGCCCCAAGAUAUCUACUAGAUAUCUUGGCGGAAACACAUCCCAGCCGCACAAUUUCCUACACUCAAACCCUCACAUAAAAGAACACACAACACAAUAAUCUUAGAUUCAGUUGAUAAGAUAUAAUUGCCCACAUUGAAUUUGUAAAGUACAGGUGAAGGGCAGGUACAAGAUAGAAGGAGGCCUGUCAUUGGAGGAGAAGGAAGGAUGGGCAGGAGAGAAGUUUGAAGGAGGAGGAGGAGACUGGAGGAGAAAGGAAGAGAAGGGACAGAGGAGAGGGGAGAAGCCACGGCAGGUGAUGUUAAGAUUCCGCUCUGUGUAUUUACAGGUUGUUAUGAAUGUUCCUAAGGGAUGGAUGGUACGGGCUUUGUAUGUUUAUGUGGGCAGUUAUAUCUUACCAAUUGGGUCAAAGGUUACUGUGUUGUGUGUUCCUUUAUGUGACGCUCUGAGUGUAGCGAAGUGUGAGGCGGCAGGAGACACUGGGCCGCCGAGGAGUUGGGAUGUUUCCACCAAGAACGAGCAGAUAUCUUGGGGCACCAUGGUGCUGAACCUAGUGAGGCAAAAGACCACAAUACUUUUUUUAUUUUUUAUAUUUUUACAACACACGGUGGCUCACAACUAUCUGUAAUGAGAUCCCAUGCCCUCUGGUGUGUCUGAAGACAGCCACAGUGUACUUAUAUAUAACAAAUAGAUUGUUAAAAAGAAAAAAAAAGAAUCCUCCUUUCUUGACAACAUACUAGGUUCAAUAAAUCUGAUACAGAAAGACUCAUGAUCUCACUUAUGUGUUAAUCAAAAUAGUCUAACUUAUGGAAUAAGGACUGGAGGGGGCAGGAAACAGAAAGCCCUUAGCUAACGGGACAAAUAUUCAAUUCUACAAAAUAAAUAGUUCUGUAUAUCUAACAUGGUGACCACAAUAUAAUACGUCACUUAACACAAUAACAUACAGUUAGUAUAAUCAUGUACUUGAAAGUUGCUAAAUGGGUUAAUUUCAGAUCAGGUGUUCUUAUUAAAAAGGUGUCACCAUGAGGUUAUGAGCAUUUUAAAAAUUAUUAUUAUGUAUGUGGGUGUUUUGCCUGCAUGUAUGUCUGUGCACUAGGUGCAUGCCUGCCAACCAAGGAGGCCAGAAGAGGGUGUCGCACAAGGAACUGGAGAUGCCGGUGUUUAUGAGAGUCAUGCAGAUGCUGGGAGUUGAACUGGCAUCCUCUGGAAGAACAGCUAGCAUUCUUUUUUUGGUUCUUUUUUUCAGAGCUGGGGACCGAACCCAGGGCCUUGCGCUUCCUAGGCAAGCGCUCUACCACUGAGCUAAAUCCCCAACCCCAACAGCUAGCAUUCUUAAGUGCUGUGUCUUUUCCAGCCCCAGACUAAGUGAUCUUGACUAUUGUGAUCAUUUCACCAUCUGCAUAUACAAGACAUCACACUGUAUGUUUAAUAUGUAGAAUUAUACCCCAGAAAUAAUAAUAAUAAUAAAAAGCAACUCUCCUGCUAUUCUACAAUGUGCUUAUGUGCACCUUAAGGUCCUGGCUUAAAAUGUGUGAGUCAUGAAAUCUGCAAAGAUCAACUCCAAAUUUCCUUUCUGAGACAAUCCCUCUAACAUACCACACUCUGAGCUGGAGAUGGCAGUGGUGAUGUGCUUGCCACACAAGAGUGAGGCCCUAAGCUCAGAUCCCUAGAGCCCAUGUCAAUGCUGGUAGACAUGGAGACAGGGACUCCCAGAAUAAGGUGGCUAGUCAGACAAGCAUUGUGUAGGUGAGCUCUGGGUUCAACUGAAAGAACCUGUGUCAAUGGAUACAGUGGAGAAAGGCAGGGAGACUUCCAAAGCCAAUGUAUACAUGUAUCCAGACUUUUGCACACACUUGUGCAAACACACAAACACAUUCACACGGAAAAAUACACUUAACUUGACCCUAAAAAUGCAAACUAUUUUGAAAGAACAAAUUUAGUUGUUCAAGAAACACAUACAAUCUCUGAAUUCAAGGCUAGUCUGGUCUAUAGUGAGUUCCAGGACAGCCUAAGCUACACAGAGAAACCCAGUCUCAAAAAAAAAAAAAAACAAA